rnacentral:miRNA from 1 species
UCGCCGCUCUCCUGUGACAAG